rnacentral:rRNA from 1 species
CUACGGGACGCUCCAGGCGCGAAACCUUUACAAUGCACGCAAGUGUGAUAAGGGAAUCCAGAGUGCUUAUCUUUUAGGUAAGCUUUUGUUAAGUGUAAAUAGCUUGACGAAUAAGUGGUGGGUAAGACUGGUGCCAGCAGCCGCGGUAAUACCAGCGCCACGAGUGGCAACCACAAUUAUUGGGUCUAAAGCGUUCGAAGCUGGUUUGAUAAAUCUUUUGUGAAAUUGUUAGACUUAAUUUAACAACGUGCAAGAGACACUGUUAAACUUGAGACCGGAGAGAAGGUAAGAGUAUUCUUUGGGAAGCGGUAAAAUGUUAUAAUCCUUAGAAGACUACCAAUGGCGAAGGCACUUACCUAGAACGGCUCUGACAGUCAAGGACGAAGGCUAGGGGCGCAAAACGGAUUAGAUACCCUGGUAGUC